GUUGCUGAGGUGUAGUGUUAUCACGUCAGUCUUACACACUGAAGGUCCCCAGUUCGAUCCUGGGCAGUAACA
rnacentral:tRNA from 1 species